rnacentral:rRNA from 1 species
UACGGAGGGUGCAAGCGUUAUCCGGAUUCACUGGGUUUAAAGGGUGCGCAGGCGGAUUUGUAAGUCAGUGGUGAAAGCCCCGGGCUCAACCUGGGAACUGCCAUUGAUACUGCAAGUCUUGAGUAUAGUUGAGGUGGGCGGAAUACAUCAUGUAGCGGUGAAAUGCUUAGAUAUGAUGUAGAACACCGAUUGCGAAGGCAGCUCGCUAAACUAUAACUGACGCUCAGGCACGAAAGCGUGGGGAUCAAACAGG